rnacentral:rRNA from 1 species
AACGAACGCUGGCGGCAUGCCUAACACAUGCAAGUCGAACGAGACCUUCGGGUCUAGUUGCGCACGGGUGCUUAACGCGUGGGAACCUGCCCUUAGGUUCGGAAUAACUCCCCGAAAGGGGUGCUAAUACCGGAUAAUGUCUUCUGACCAAAGAUUUAUCGCCUUUGGAUGUGCCCGCGUUGGAUUAGCUAGUUGGUAGGGUAAAAGCCUACCAAGGCGACGAUCCAUAGCUGGUCUGAGAGGAGGAUCAGCAACACUGGGACUGGGACACGGCCCGGACUCCUACGGUAGGCAGCGGAGGCGAAUAUAAGGAAAUGGGCGAAGGGCUGAACCAGCCAUGACGCGUGAGUGAUGAAGGCGUUAGGGUUAUACAGCUCUUUUAACCGAAAUGGUAAUGACAGUACCGGGAGAAUAAGCACCGGCUAACUACGUG